rnacentral:rRNA from 1 species
UUAAAAUGUAAAAAAAAAAAUUAGAGUAGUAAUAGAUAUGUUCUUAAAACUUAAAAAAAUUGGCGGUAUUUUAAUCUAAUCAGAGGAAUUUGUUUUAUAAUUGAUAGUCCUCAUUAAAUCUUACUUAAUUUUGUUUAAUUUAUAUAUCGUUGUCAUAAGAAUAUCUUAAAAAAGAAAUAAUUUUCUAUUAUAAUAAUAAUUAAUUAUGUCAGAUCAAGGUGUAGUUUAUAAUUAAGAAAAAAUGAAUUACAAUUAAUUUAUUAAAUAUGGAUAAUAAUUUUAAAUAAUUAUUUGAAGGUGGAUUUGAUAGUAAAUUUUUUUAAAAAGGAAAAUUGAUUUUAGUUCUAAAAUAUGU